GGUGGCCCAGUGGUAGAGCGCUUGCCUUGCAUGCAUGAAGUCCUGGGUUCGAUCCCUCAGCACCA
rnacentral:tRNA from 1 species